GACAGGAGGAGCCAAGCGUUGUCCGGAUUGACUGGGCGUAAAGCGCACGCAGGCGGCCGUGCACGUGGGGUGUGAAAGCCGCUCGGCUUAACUGAGCGAAUGCCACCUCAUACGGCAGGGCUCGAGCCCGUGAGAGGUCCAGCGGAAUUGCCGGUGUAGUGGUGAAAUGCGUAGAGAUCGGCAGGAACACCCGAUGGCGGAAGGCAGCCUCCUGGGGCCGACACUGACGCUCAUGCACGAAAGCGUGGGGAGCAAACAGG
rnacentral:rRNA from 1 species